rnacentral:rRNA from 1 species
GACGUAGGGCGCGAGCGUUGUCCGGAUUUAUUGGGCGUAAAGAGCUCGUAGGCGGCUUGUUGCGUCGACUGUGAAAACCCGCGGCUUAACUGCGGGCUUGCAGUUGAUACGGGCAGGCUAGAGUUCGGUAGGGGAGACUGGAAUUCCUGGUGUAGCGGUGAGAUGCGCAGAUAUCAGGAGGAACACCGGUGGCGAAGGCGGGUCUCUGGGCCGAUACUGACGCUGAGGAGCGAAAGCGUGGGGAGCGAACAGG